ensembl:lncRNA
CAGUGGCUGCCACGUUGUGCCUCGCAGUGGCAGCAGCAGGCACCGACUCCCCAAUGAGCCCCAGCUCUUCAGUUAGGGUGAUUUCAAUUAAAGGUGCCGGUAUCCAGACGUCUGCAUUGUCUCGGCUGGAAGGAGUAGACACCUGCCUGGCCCCUCUGCUCAGAAUUAAUGAUGGUAGAUGGCAGCGCUGACAUCCGGGUGACCUCCCACGGGAGUCCACACGGCCCCCAUCAUUCAAAUCACAGCAGCCUCUUCGGUGACAGGGAGGCGGGGAGUGAAAGUCGUAGCUGCGAUUCCAACAGCCAGGAGGAUUGUUUUUCUGAGAAUUUCUGCCAGCAGCCACGGAGGACUCUGUGCGCCUACAGGAGAUCUGGAAAUUUAGACAGCUAUCAAAUUCAAAUUAAACACCUAUGUGCUGCCCACUUGCUGGAUAGGCAGCUCGGUCCUACUGCUUUGAGUUUGGAAAAGACCAGAAUCUGAUUGUCCUCACUGUUUUCUCGUGGAAAUGGCCCUAACCAUCUCUCCCAAGAUCGCAAAUUAGAUACUGGGGUUUAAAGCUUACAGGCCAGCGGAGCUGUUGUUCAAAAUUCAGAAAUGGGCUGCAUUGAGCCUCUGGCCUCAGAGUUCUCUAGAUCGGGCUAUUAGAAUGUGGUCGUGUGGGGGCUUCGUAUUUCUGUACAGAUCAGGACUUGUAGUUUGCAGCUGGGUUUUCGUGACUUCUUUUCAGAGGUGAGCACCAGCUGGAUUGGAGUAAACCUUUUCUCUUUUCCUCUAACUUUAGCCCUCAGGACUUAACAUUGUGAGAGAUUUCUUACUGGUGUCCUGGUGGAUGGGCUGUGUGUCAGGAACCUGGUUUCUGAUCUUGAACCUGCACCGUUCCAGCCUUGGGACCUUAGGCAAAUUAUCCAGUAUCUUCAAGCCUCAGCUUUUUCAUCUAUACAGCGGGGCUGUAUAAGGUUACUCCUGUGCUUGGGGGCUGAGUUGGAGUGCAAGCACCUGCCCCCAAGAGGUAGAAGGCCAAGCCACCAUGGGGUCAGGUGCCCACGAGGGAGAUGAGAUCAGAUGUCUGCAGUCCCAUGGCUUCGAGUCUGCCAGGUGCCUGAGCGGGCCCGGGACUAGCAGAGGGCUUCGGGUGGAUGGCCGGGGGUCAGGGCCCUGGGCGAGUGCUCUGAGGAUGCAUGGCUUUGGCAUGGCCAGAUUUUGGAGGUGGCAGGAGGAAAGAUUGACAUUUAAAACUUUUUUUUACUGUGGCCUAAUAUGCACAACACAAUGUACCCUUUAGCUGCUUUUGUUGUUGCUGUCAUUGUUUUGGUCUUUUUUUUUUUGGUACUGGGGAUCAAACUUAGGUCCUUGCAUUUGCGCAGCAGGCAGCGAAACCACUGAGCUAAAUCCCCGGCUCCUGUUGUGGUUGUUUUGAGACAGGCUGGCCCUGAACUUACUAUGUAGGCCAGGUUGGCCUCCAACUUGCAGCCAUCCUCCUGCCUCUGCCUCCUGAGUGCAUCAUCAUGCCUGCAUCCCAUCAACCACUCGUGAGGAUGCAGUUCAGCAGCAUUAAGGAUGUUCGCCCUGCUGUGCAACCGUCAGCAUUAUCCAUCUUUGGAACCUUCUCCUUGUCCAAAACUGAAACUCUGUCUCCAGUAAACACCACCUCCUCAUCCCCUACUUCCUUCCUCCUUUUCACUGGCAUAUGUUUUCGAUUACACAAUAAAUACAACCACUAUGGGGAUUUG